rnacentral:lncRNA from 1 species
GGCAAAUCAGAUGACACUGCCUCUUCCUUAGGGAACUUCCAGUUUUGCAAGUCUGCCUCUCAAGUGCAAUUACAGAGAGCUUUGAUUUGGGGAGACGGUGUGGGAUGAAGGAAUGUCAAAGCAGAUCUGGUUUACAAAUUGCAGCAAGUGACAAUGCUGCCGUGGUCAAAGCUGAGGAGAGUGAGUAAAUAUCUAUGUAAACUAUCGGCUGUUUACCUGUUGCACUAUCUUGGCCUGGCAAAGGGUAAACCUUUCCCUGUCGGGCUGCAAGUGCCUGCAAGCAAGCGCUGCACCCUCCAUCUGGUGAAAGUCACCCCCAUGAGCAGGUCUUCUGCUAUGACUUGUAUGCUGUCUGAGCAAACAAAGAGAGACAUGCUGCUACUUAUACUGGUGUGAUAGAGAUCAGCCACCUCAUCUGCUAAAACUGAAGUAUGCAAUUAAAUGGCACAAUAAAUUUUAAAAUAGCAAGUGAAAAUAACAUAUUAACUUAGCAGUAAUACUCUGUGUCUGUUCCUUCCAUCAGUUUCUACUGGAAGUAAGCAUCUCACUAGGAAUCAAAAGAUUUUAAGUGUUGUACUUAUUAGUAUUGGGAAUGCAUUGUUCAGUGAUAAUUCUUUCAUCUUCUGUUUGUCACAGAUAUUUCCAUUUCUAGGAAUCUUUUUUUUUUCCCCUUUAGUAUGCACUGCAGUGCAUGAUGCUGAUGCCUGUUGUAUGAUGUACUGUUUAUUGCAGGCCGCAGUAUAGACAUACAUGCCUGGCUCCUUGUCUGUUCUCAUCUCUGACCACACCUUUGCUGUGCCAACCUGAGGCCUAGAUGACCCAAGGAGCCCAAAUGCCCUGCUGGUCCUGUCCCCCAUGGUCCCACAGAUCACCUACCCACUGAGGGCCUCACACACAUCUGGUGGCCAUGUCUGAGGGAAAUCAUAACUGAGAAGAUGGAGAUCUAAAAGGACAUCAAAGUUAAUGCCGAGUUCAUUGUUUUAUAAUUACACCGGCAUGGUACGGUGCAGUUUUUUUCUGAAUAAUAGCUCACUGGUAGCUGUGAAAAGUAUGCCAGCCUAGAGCAAAUACAGUAAACUAAAUAGCGCUGGGAUUAAAAUAAGAAGUAC